AUGAGGUGUAAUGGAGUGAAGGAGGGCUGAGGGCUUCAGAUGGAAAAGCCAGUCAUAGCCGUAGCAGUGUUUCCCAGGCAAGGACCGGACCCCAUGAAUAUUCUUGACCUGUCUGGGGGUGGCGGAACUUCAGAGUGAGUCAGUGUCCCCUGCUCACUCGCCCUUUCGUGGGCUUAGGAGACGGAAUACUCUCUUAAUGCCUAUGAGACCCGGCUCGAGUGAGGGAUUUUAGUAAGGGGUCAAGAUGGUCUUCUGAACCCCAAGGGCAGCCUUGAACCUCCUUCUUCUCAUGAGCUUAGGGGGUCUCCAAGGUGGAGUGACAGGGCUGAGUAGAGGUUAUAACCGUGCAUUUGGGGACCUCUGGAGGUGACUGGAGGAGGAUAUAGUUCCCUACUCAACAUGGCUGUUUCUAGGCAGAGCUGAGCCACACCAGGAAGACUAAGUGGGAAAGUCACAAAGCUGAGGGGAGACCAGACCUAAGGCACUACCUCCACGACCCCAGACCUAGGGACAGUCUGCAUUGUUCUUCUCUGGGCCCAAUUCUGCAUGGGUUCCUUAGUGCUCCCUUUAUAGGCCAACCUGAAGGUCUUUACAACUAACCAAGCACUGGGCAAUCAGGUAUCGACGGCCACCAUUAUAUGACCUAGACCUGAGCAAUCUCAGCACGUCAGAAUGGACACAGGCUUAGGAUCUUCCAGUCUAACCCUUUUGUUCUUGCAAAUAAGAGAACAAAGGCACAGGUGGUGU
rnacentral:lncRNA from 1 species